rnacentral:ncRNA from 1 species
CGACUUUGUGAAAUGACUUGAUAGGGUGUAGUAUAAGUGGGAAUAUUUUUCGACACAAAUGAAAUACCACUACUUUUAACAUUAUUUUACUUAUAAUUUUGUGGGGCGAAGAUGGGGCAAUUACCCUAUUUUUUGCCUUAAGUCACAUUUCAAUGGGUCGAUAUGGGAAGAAGACAUUGUUAGGUGGGGAUUUUGGAUGGGGCGACACAUCUUUUAAAAGAUGAAAUAAAAUAUAUUGGUGUAUACAUAACAUUUGUAUUUGGGAGAUCCUAGUGCACAACCACCCUUAUCACCUUUCCCUCCUAAUUUGUAGUUACAUCCAAUCAUUUCUAAAA